GCUUGCUUCAGUCACACAUAUACUACAAUUGAAACAAUACAAAGAAGAUCAGUAUGGCCCUCAUGCAAGGAUAACAUGCAAAUUCAUGAAGCAUUCCCUAUUUUU